rnacentral:rRNA from 1 species
UACGAAGGGGGGCAAGCGUUUGUUCGGAAUUACUGGGCGUAAAGGGCGCGUAGGCGGUGCGUUAAGUCAGAUGUGAAAGCCCUGGGCUCAACCCGGGAAUUGCAUUUGAUACUGGCGCGCUAGAAUCCAGGAGAGGUUGGUGGAAUUCCCAGUGUAGAGGUGAAAUUCGUAGAGAUUGGGAAGAACACCGGUGGCGAAGGCGGCCAACUGGACUGGUAUUGACGCUGAGGCGCGAAAGCGUGGGGAGCAAACAGG